AUGAGAGCCUACUCGGCGGCACCGCCCGCGGCCGUCUCGCUGCCGUCGGCCGCGGCCCCGCCGCUCACCCCCGACGCGGCGGCCGUGCUGUCCCGCGCCGCGGGCGACGCGUCCAGGCGCCGCCACGCGCACACCACGCCGCUCCACGCGGCAGCUGCGCUGCUCUCCGGCCCGGCGCCGCUCCUCCGCGACGCCUGCGUCGCCGGCCUCGCUUCGCCGCACCCGCUCCGGUGCCGCGCGCUCGACCUCUGCUUCGCGGUGGCCCUUGACCGUCUGCCCACCUCCACGGAGCACCACCACGGCGGCCAUGUCGACGGCGCCGGGUUCCGCGGCGGCCCGCAGCCCCCGCCGCUCUCCAACGCGCUCUCCGCCGCGCUCAAGCGCGCGUACGCGCACCACCGCCGCAUCGGCGGCAGCCCCGUCGAGCCCGCCGGCGGCGACGACCACCGCGUCGGCGUGCCGCACCUUGUGCUUGCCAUCCUUGACGACCCGUCCGUGGCUCGCGUCAUGCGCGAGGCCUCCUUCUCCAGCACCGCCGUCAAGGCGGCCAUGCUCCGGUCCCUCUCCGACCCCGCAGCCCCUGACUCCGGCGUCUAUGUCAGCGCCACCAGGUCGCUGCAGCACCGGCAGGCGCCGAUCAACCGGGACGAGGAGGUGGCCAAGGUCGUGGACGUGCUGAAAAGGGCCAAGAAGCGCAACCCGGUGCUCGUCGGUGACACGGCGGACGUGGACGCCGUCGUGCAGGAGGUCGUCGCGAUGAUCCAACGCCAGCGCCUCGGCAAUGCGCGGGUCAUCGAAUUCGGCAACCUGGCAGACAUGGAUAGGUCAGAGCUGGUCGCCAAGAUCAGGGAGCUCGGCGAAGCGAUCACAUCGGAGCUACUGGCACCGGCGAUGGUGUCACAGACCGCUGGUGUCGUGGUCAACCUCGGGAACCUCCAAUGGCUCGUGGAGGAAAGAUGCGCGGUCGCCUUCGGCGAGCCGCAGGAAACGAGGAGGGAGGUGGUGCUCGACACGGCGCGCGCCGCGGUGGCCGAGAUGGCACGCGUGCUGGAGCACUCCGGCGGCGAAGGCGAGCGGCGCCGCGUCUGGGUGAUCGGCACGGCGACGUGCGCCACGUAUCUCAAGUGCCAGGUGUACCACCCGGCGCUGGAGAGCGAGUGGGACAUCCAGGCGGUGCCCAUCACGCCGAGACCACCGCAGCCGCCGUCGCUCGGGCUCUCUCCGAGUGCUGGAGUCAAUCGAGGCAUCCUGAGCAGCUCGGUGGAGGUGUUGUCGUCGGCGAUGACCGGUGCAACGACGCACAGGCCGGCGACGGGCAUGUGCAACGCCUGCGUGGACGGCUACGAGCGGGAGCGCGCCGACAUGCAGUGUGCUGAUGCGGCGAGCUCCCUCAACCCCACCGAGAAGACCAUGUCGCGGUGGCUGCAGAUCGGGACGCCGGCCAGCGCACGGCCGCAGCCCAUCGUUGGUUUUCAGGACAAGGCGCGGGACGCAGAUGAGCUGUGGCGUCGGUGGCUGGACCGGUGCGCGCAGCUGCACUCCCACGGCCGGCCGCCGGCGGUUACGUGCUCCGAGUGGAACGGCGCGAGUGUUAUCGGCAGCAUGCAUGCGACGCUGCCGGUCAGGCCAUCGGCGCCGGCUAGAGGCACGGUGGUGGACACCGACCUCGCCCUGGGGACGCCGGUGCCUUCGAUGACGCCGGCACCGGCAUCAGCAUCGGCAUGGGACACGGACGAAAAGGUGCUCGCUAAACGGCUCACGGAGGCGGUGAGAUGGCAACCGGAGGCUGCGGCUGCGGUGGCUGAUACGAUCGUGAAGGCCAGGUUCGGCGGCGGAAAGCGGCGACGAGUAGGGCCAAAGGCCGACACGUGGGUCCUCUUCGCCGGUGCCGACAUGGUCGGGAAGAGGAGGAUGGCCGAGGCGCUCUCCGUGGCGAUCUUUGGCGCCGGCCCCGUCACUGUGCGCCUCGGCUGUGCAACAACCGGCGACGUCGACGGCGGGGAAGAAUCCGUCGUGUCGUGCCGCGGAAGGACGGCGCUGGACCGCGUGGCUGAGACCGUACGAGACAACCCGUUCCGCGUCGUGGUGCUCGAUGACCUCGACCACACCGACGAUGUCGUGCACGGUGCCAUCGUGCACGCCGUCGAGUCCGGCCAGCUCACGGACUCACACGGCCGAGACGUCGCCCUCGGCAGCGCCAUCUUCAUCGUCAUGUCAAGCUGGUCGUCGUCCGCGCCGGGUCAACCCACCGACUCGCCGUGGAACCUGGAGCUCCGUGUCCGGCGGCACACGACGCCGAAGCGGAGGCCCGAGCAGGAGCUCGACGGAUACCGGCGCGUGAAACCACGCAAACCGCUCCCGCUUGACCUGAACUUGUCCAUGUGCGACGAUCACAUCGACGACGACGGCGAGGACAGCGGCGGCGAGGGCUCACGUAACUCGUCCAGCGACCUGACGGUGGAGCACGAGCAGGAGUACGCGCAACCGCCCUCGGCCGGCACGCGCUCGGCACAGUCCAAUGUGCACGAGCUCAUCCGAGCCGUCGACGGGACAGUGGUGUUCAGAUCAGUCGACUUCGGGCCUCUCAAACGGAGCGUCUCCGACGUGGUAUCGGUCAAGUUCGGCGACGCCGCCGGCAGUGGCGGGUGGUCCGUGCACAUGGACGCCGGCGUGCUGGACAGGCUGGCCGGUGCCGCGUGGACGGCGGCAGGAGCGUCGACCGCCACGGCCACGUCGUUGGAGUCGUGGGCGGACGAGGUGCUGUGCCCUAGCAUACGGCAGCUGAAGCGUAGCUUGAGCAGCAGCGACGUCAACGGUGCAACGACGGUGAGCUUGUCGGCCGUGGAAGGCAUUGGCCGUCGAAGAAUGGACGGCGAUGUACUAUUCCCGACGUCGGUGACGGUCGCCGUCGACGGAAAUUGA
rnacentral:rRNA from 1 species